rnacentral:lncRNA from 1 species
UGCACAUCCUGUCCCCCAUCUGUCCGGCCACCCCACGGCCCCCCGUGUCCUUCUGUCCCCCCCGGCACCCCUGUGCCUUCCUGCGCACCUUGGCACCGCGGGGCGCGUGGGCAGCACCUGCAGGGCCGGGGGUGGCAGCUCGGUGACAAUGCGAGGGGUGACAGGCAGCAGCGUUAACCCUUUCCCGGCUGGCGCGCGCCUGGCACGGACCCGGCUCCGUGCUGGUGGCAGAAACUGAGGCACAGAAAUGGGGGGGGACCCCCUGACUGUGUCCUGCCUCGGGUUCCCCUUUGGUGGUGCCACCUCUGCCCAGAGGGGAUGCCAGGUAGGAGAUGUGGGGGGGGCACAGGGCACGUCCUCGUGCCAGGCCAGGCGCUUGUGCCGCGCCGUGUCCUUGUGUGCCACACGAGCUGCCGCCUCAGCCUGGUGCCCGCCGUGUCCUCGUGUCAUGUCCUGUCCUCGUGCCACACCGUGUCCCGGUGCCACACUGCAUGCCGUGUCCCUUGUGCCACAACAUGUCCUUGUGCCACACGUGUCCCAAUGCCACGCUGCAUGCCGUGUCCCUUGUGCCAUGCCUCAUCCUUGUGCCACACGUGUCCCAAUGCCACGCUGCAUGCCGUGUCCCUCAUCCAUGUGCCAAACCCAGUGCCACACCGUGUCCCAGUGCCACACCACGUCCCAGUGCCACGCUGCAUGCCAUGUCCCUUGUGCCAUGCCUCAUCCUUGUGCCAAACCAUGUCCCAGUGCCAUGCUGCAUGCCGUGUCCCUCGUCCUCGUGCCACACCAUGUCCCAGUGCCACACCACAUCCCAGUGCCACACUGCCACGCCGUGCCCUGGCGUCCAUCGCGUCCCUGUGCCACACCUCGUGCUCACGCCAUGCUGCAUCCUCAGCCUGAGGUUGUCGUGCACCGCUGGCAUCGUGUCCAUCGUGUGCCACGAUCCACGGCGUCCCUGUGCCACCCCUCAUCCUCCCGCCACGCCGUGUCCUGGUGCCCGUCGUGUCCUCAUGCCACAUCCUCGCGCUGGUGGCGCCCGCUGUGGCCUGCUUCCCGCUGUGUCCCCAUGCCACACCACGCCCUGGUGCCACGCUGUGCCCUCGUGGCUGCCGCACCCCGGAAUCGUUGUGUCCCCAUGCCACGCCGCAUCCUUGCCCCAACGGUGUCCUGGUGCCCGUCCCCGUUCCCAUCGUGUCCCUGUG